GUCUACGGCCAUGCUACCCUGAACAAGCCCGAUCCUGUCUGAUCUCAGAAGCUAAGCCGGGUCGGGCCUGGUUAGUACUUGGAUGGGAGACCACCUAGGAAGCCCAGGUGCAGAAGGUA
rnacentral:rRNA from 1 species